rnacentral:rRNA from 1 species
AUGGAGGUCCGUAGCGAUUCUGACGUGCAAAUCGAUCGUCGGAACUGGGUAUAGGGGCGAAAGACUAAUCGAACCAUCUAGUAGCUGGUUCCCUCCGAAGUUUCCCUCAGGAUAGCUGGCGCUCAAAUAUGGCGGACAGUCCCUAUACGGGACGCGCAAACUAAAGAGUUUCUUCCGGUAAAGCGAAUGAUUAGAGGCAUUGGGGUCGAAACGACCUCAACCUAUUCUCAAACUUUAANUGGGUGAGAUCUCCGGCUUACUUGAUAAUCGAUAUUAAU